rnacentral:rRNA from 1 species
CGUACACUCCUACGGGAGGCAGCAGUGGGGAAUAUUGCACAAUGGGCGCAAGCCUGAUGCAGCCAUGCCGCGUGUAUGAAGAAGGCCUUCGGGUUGUAAAGUACUUUCAGCGGGGAGGAAGGCGAUAAGGUUAAUAACCUUGUUGAUUGACGUUACCCGCAGAAGAAGCACCGGCUAACUCCGUGCCAGCAGCCGCGGUAAUACGGAGGGUGCAAGCGUUAAUCGGAAUUACUGGGCGUAAAGCGCACGCAGGCGGUCUGUCAAGUCGGAUGUGAAAUCCCCGGGCUCAACCUGGGAACUGCAUUCGAAACUGGCAGGCUAGAGUCUUGUAGAGGGGGGUAGAAUUCCAGGUGUAGCGGUGAAAUGCGUAGAGAUCUGGAGGAAUACCGGUGGCGAAGGCGGCCCCCUGGACAAAGACUGACGCUCAGGUGCGAAAGCGUGGGGAGCAAACAGGAUUAGAAACCCGUGUAGUCCCAUGA